rnacentral:misc_RNA from 1 species
CAAGCAUGCACCAUGCGCCAAAG